rnacentral:rRNA from 1 species
UACGUAGGUGGCAAGCGUUAUCCGGAAUUAUUGGGCGUAAAGCGCUCGCAGGCGGUUUUUUAAGUCUGAUGUGAAAGCCCACGGCUCAACCGUGGAGGGUCAUUGGAAACUGGGAAACUUGAGUGCAGAAGAGGAGAGUGGAAUUCCACGUGUAGCGGUGAAAUGCGUAGAGAUGUGGAGGAACACCAGUGGCGAAAGGCGACGUCU